AGACAAUUAAUUUUAAGAAAAAUAUUUGAUUUCGGCUCAAAAGCUUGUGGUUAAAGUCCACAAUUGUCUA
rnacentral:tRNA from 1 species